AGUGAACGCUGGCGGUAGGCCUAACACAUGCAAGUCGAACGGCAGCACAGUAAGAGCUUGCUCUUACGGGUGGCGAGUGGCGGACGGGUGAGGAAUACAUCGGAAUCUACUUUUUCGUGGGGGAUAACGUAGGGAAACUUACGCUAAUACCGCAUACGACCUACGGGUGAAAGCAGGGGAUCUUCGGACCUUGCGCGAUUGAAUGAGCCGAUGUCGGAUUAGCUAGUUGGCGGGGUAAAGGCCCACCAAGGCGACGAUCCGUAGCUGGUCUGAGAGGAUGAUCAGCCACACUGGAACUGAGACACGGUCCAGACUCCUACGGGAGGCAGCAGUGGGGAAUAUUGGACAAUGGGCGCAAGCCUGAUCCAGCAAUACCGCGUGGGUGAAGAAGGCCUUCGGGUUGUAAAGCCCUUUUGUUGGGAAAGAAAAGCAGCAGGUGAAUACCCCGCUGUUCUGACGGUACCCAAAGAAUAAGCACCGGCUAACUUCGUG
rnacentral:rRNA from 1 species